rnacentral:rRNA from 1 species
ACACUCCUGCGGGAGGCAGCAGUGGGGAAUAUUGCACAAUGGGCGCAAGCCUGAUGCAGCCAUGCCGCGUGUGUGAAGAAGGCCUUCGGGUUGUAAAGCACUUUCAGCGGGGAGGAAGGCGAUACGGUUAAUAACCGUGUUGAUUGACGUUACCCGCAGAAGAAGCACCGGCUAACUCCGUGCCAGCAGCCGCGGUAAUACGGAGGGUGCAAGCGUUAAUCGGAAUUACUGGGCGUAAAGCGCACGCAGGCGGUCUGUCAAGUCGGAUGUGAAAUCCCCGGGCUCAACCUGGGAACUGCAUUCGAAACUGGCAGGCUUGAGUCUUGUAGAGGGGGGUAGAAUUCCAGGUGUAGCGGUGAAAUGCGUAGAGAUCUGGAGGAAUACCGGUGGCGAAGGCGGCCCCCUGGACAAAGACUGACGCUCAGGUGCGAAAGCGUGGGGAGCAAACAGGAUUAGAAACCCUUGUAGUCCCAUGA